AGCUCUAGUAGAAAGUAGACUAGAGAAUUAUGUCGAAAUCCUCACUUUUGAAAAUGUCAAUUUUUGCCUAAGCAAUACAGCAAAGCUAUGAAUCUGUAGUUGGAAUAGAUGCAAAUUAGUAUGCAAUUCAUCAAUUCAAGACACUGGCAUAACAAAAGUACUCCAAGAUACUACCUCAAGUUUAAUUUACAAAUCAAAUUAUUUCCUCUAUACAUAGCAGAAGAAGCUAAAUGAUUACGUUUUAUGGUACUUAAUCUGAUGUAUAGCAAAUUGCAAUAAGUACCAAUCCAACUGAAUUUGCAAUAAUAUUACUCUAUGGUGGAUUUUUGCUGGUUACUAAUGAAAUAAAAACAAUUAACUGAUUAAACUGUUAGAUGGAAAUCAAACACAGUUUAAUUAUGUUGCUUUUUCCUCUUCACUGUUAUCUGAAAAGGAAGAAAAAUAUUAUUUUAGAAAAUCAAACGAUCUGAAUUUAAAAAAAGAUCUGAAAAUUAUUUUUGGAGAAGACAUGUAUAUGAGUAUGUUUAGAAAAUAUAUUAAAUUAGAUAACUCAUUCAAAUCAUGCAAAGAAUUUUUAUCGUCGUAAAAGAAGGACUGCCAUAAACAUCCGGAACUUUUUAUUAUUUAUUUGAUUUACGAAUCUACUCUUUGUUUAUUUGUUUUUUAAUAAAAACUGAAUUUUCAAUCGUUCUUCUCUAAAAUGAAUUUUCUCAUGUUACUAAAGAAUUGAAAACAAUGAAUUAAUUAAACUGUUAGAUGGAAAUCAAGUACAGUUUAAUAAUGUUGCAAUUUUCUCUUCACUGUAAUCUGAAAAGCAAGAAAAACAAUAUUUUAGAAAAUAGACGAUCUGAAUUCUAAAAAAACAUCUGAAAAUUAUAUUUCAUAGAAGACAUAUACAUGAGUAUAUUGAGAGAAUAUAUUAAAUUAGAUACUUCAUUUAAAUCACGCAAAGAAUUUUUAUCGUCAUGAAAGAAACACUGCUAUAAACAUUUGAAACUCUUUAUUUCUUUUAUCUAACUUACGAGUAGUUAAAUUAAGAGACGCAUAUAUUUCUUCUAGAUAUAAUCUAGAAAACAAAGCCAAUGAUUAUGAGAUAAUUGUAAUGAUUUAUUGUUGUUUUGUUGACUUUUCAGGUUCAAUGAACAUAUUAACAUGCUACUCUUGUUCUAACUGUCGAUAACCAGCACAAAUAAAGAAUGUAUUAUUUUACUAGUUAUGAAAUAAUUCAUUUCAUAAUAUAUGAUGCUAUCAGAAAUUCUAUUUUCUACACGAAAAACAAUUGCCCUUGGUGUCAAACAUACAUAUUGUUUAAUAACUCAGGAAACUGAGAAGAGAUGCAAAAAUGUGUGACAAUCAUAAAUGGCCAGCUUUUCAUGCCUAUUAUUCAAUGAAUUGGUUAUAAUAUUCGCUGAAAAAUAAUAUAUGUUGAGAAAAACUUGAUGGACAUAUAUUCAUGUUUGUAUGAUGUUAUAUCAAGUAACAAAUGGAGCUUCAGCAAAAUAUUUAUUUAUAUAAAGAUGUUUGAAUAUGCAAAACUUGAAAACUCUUUCAGCAACCAAAUUUUAUGACAACGGUGAAAAGAAAGUUUUAGUAAUAAACUCAUAUCACCAUGAAGCAACAGCAACACUUCCAAUAAAUGUCAUCAUGUAUGUAAGUUUUUAUAUGGAAACCUGUAAGUCUAUCCCAUCGGACAACAUGCGCAAUUAAAUGUUUGAUAGAAUUGUACGGCAUUUGAAGACUUCAAAAUAUAUUCGACGAAAUCAAAAGCGAUUUAUUAUACGAAAAUGGUGUUCCAAGUGCCUUGAUACCGGAAAUGCCUUAAUAAAAUUAUCUUAACUCCAGGAGUGCCUUAAUAGAACUUUCUAAAUUCCAGAAAGACCAUAAAAAACUUUUCACUGACUAAAAAGAUUCUGUGGCUGCAUAUACAAAAUAAUUCAGAAUUAUUCUUCAGAGGAAGAAAGAAUUGAAGAACAAAGUUUUUAACAUGCCUAGUUGGAAUGAUGAUUCAGUAAAGAUUGUCAUAAUUGGUUGAUAUAAAGAGUAAGAUAGUUUUCAAAAGUGCCUUUCAUAAUGCUUCUUCCGGCUAAAACUGAAAAAGAUCAAUGAUUCUUAAAUAAAAGACUGUGGACCACUAAGUUAGAGAUCGAACCAUAUGUGAACCAUUCCCGAUUUGAGAGUGAAAAUCUUCCGGAGGAUAUGAAAUACUUCCAGUCAGAUGGAUCCAAGGAUCGCCCCGGGAAAUUUUAGAAUGCAAAAAGUGCAUUUUGAGCAUUUUACAUGUGUGAACCCUCCUAAUGGUAUCUAGUCCUAUGACAUCAUAGUAGCUUAAGUGUCCGAGUUAUCUGUUUCAAAUUGGACAGCGUCUUCUUAGUUCUCAUGAUUUAGGCGUUCAGAGAGGAGUUGAGAUUGGUUAAAAGGAGUAAAGUCCGAAAUUGGAAGAAAAAAGUUAAGGAUGUUAUUAAGAAUUUACAUAUGUAUAAGAUUCUAAUUAUUUUGAG